UCCGUAGGUGAACCUGCGGAAGGAUCAUUAGUGAUUGCCAUCUUGGCUUAAACUAUAUCCAUCUACACCUGUGAACCGUUUGAUUGAAUCUUCUGAUUCAAUUUUACAAACAUUGUGUAAUGAACGUCAUUAGAUCAUAACAAAAAAAAACUUUUAACAACGGAUCUCUUGGCUCUCGCAUCGAUGAAGAACGCAGCGAAAUGCGAUAAGUAAUGUGAAUUGCAGAAUUCAGUGAAUCAUCGAAUCUUUGAACGCAACUUGCGCUCUCUGGUAUUCCGGAGAGCAUGCCUGUUUGAGUGUCAUGAAAUCUCAACCAUUAGGGUUUCUUAAUGGCUUGGAUUUGGAGGUUGCCAUUCUAAAUGGCUCCUCUUAAAGGAGUUAGCAAGUUUUACUAUUGCUAUCUGGCGUAAUAAGUUUCGCUGGAAUGGUAUUGUGAAGCGUGCUUCUAAUCGUCUUCGGACAAUUACUUUGACUCUGGCCUCAAAUCAGGUAGGACUACCCGCUGAACUUAAGCAUAUCAAUAAGCGGAGGA
rnacentral:rRNA from 1 species